AAGAGACAGCAGCAGCCGCGGGAAUACAGAGGAUGCAAGCGUUAUCCGGAAUCAUUGGGUUUAAAGGGUCCGUAGGCGGUUUAGUAAGUCAGUGGUGAAAGCCCAUCGCUCAACGGUGGAACGGCCAUUGAUACUGCUGAACUUGAAUUAUUAGGAAGUAACUAGAAUAUGUAGUGUAGCGGUGAAAUGCUUAGAGAUUACAUGGAAUACCAAUUGCGAAGGCAGGUUACUACUGAUUGACUGACGCUGAUGGACGAAAGCGUGGGGAGCGAACAGGAUUAGAUACCCCAGUAGUCCCUGUCUCUUAUAC
rnacentral:rRNA from 1 species